UGUACUAUGCUGAUCAGGUGUCUGCUCUGAUUUUGGCAUCAAUGUGGUGACCUCCCAGGAGCAUGGGACCACCGGGUUGCCUAAGGAGGGGUGAACCAGCCCAGGUCAGAAAUGGAGCAGGUCAAAACUCCCGUGCUGAUCAGUAGUAGUAUCGCACUUGUGAACAGUCA
ensembl:misc_RNA Metazoa_SRP Metazoan signal recognition particle RNA